ACAAAAAGAAAACUCGACGUGUACAGUGUUGCGUCAGAGAUUCCUAGAGAUAAGUCGACCUCAACCGUCAUGUGUCGGAAAAGGUCGAAUAAUUAAAUUGUACCAUUUGCCUUCUUCUGAUGCAAUGUCAGAGACGUCGGGAACAGUAUGACCAUUCCCAAUGCCAUUAGUCACGGCGUCGGCAAUGGUCAUACUUUUUUCAACGUUUUUGGUCUGUGUCGGAAGGUCCUUUGUCUUAAAAUCCAUUGCAUUUUGUGAUUUACAGAAUUGAAAGAGAAAGGAAGAGAAACCAAGAAGUUCUUUCGGUCAGUUUCUGUCGUUUGUCGUCGUCUUCCACCGCUCGCCUUCAUAUUUCGGUAAGUAUUAGUUUGAUAUUAGUUUAUUUUAUUUAUAUUUGAAUUGGAUUUAAGGAAUAAGAUUUUUGAAUUAGUUUUUAGUAUUUAGAUCUGAAUUUGAAUUAUGUCUUAGGAAUAAGAUUUUGAAUUAGAUUUUGGUAUUUGAAUUUUAAUUGUUUUUUAGAUUUAGGAAUUAAUAUAUAUAUUUAAGGGGGUUGAAUUGAAAUUUUGAAAGAGGGAGGGGUUGAAUCAAUUGAAAUGAAACUGUGGAGGUUGAAUUGAAAACAGAAGGGGGUUUAAUUGAAAAUUACAGAGGGAAGUUGAAUAGAAAAUUAAAUUGGAAAUGUUCGCAGUUCUUCGACCACAUCUUCACACUCUACGACAAUCGAACAAGCUAAUACAAUUUUCAUUGAGAAAGACUCGAGCUUUAAGAAGUUAAGCGCAUGAUUGAAGAGCAGAGAAGAAUGUCCGAGCUGUAGGCCCAACAAAUGGAAGAAAUGAAGAAGAUGAUUGAAGAAAUGACUCGGGCACAGAGAGGACCGUGAGUCGAGAACUUGCGGUAGGUAUUUUUUAACUUUAAUGUUGUUUACUUCAUAUUAUUAUUGAUAUUAGCAUUAUAUAUAUCUAAUUUACUUUUUUUUUUUCGUUGACCUGUUGAAUUAUGGCGUCCGCGAAAAAAUUUACCUUAAAUUUUUUUCAUGUAAUUUUAUCUUAACAAAUUUGAAUGUACGACAAUGAAACGUUUAUUUA
rnacentral:lncRNA from 1 species